AACGAACGCUGGCGGCAUGCCUAACACAUGCAAGUCGAACGAGACCUUCGGGUAUAGUGGCGCACGGGUGCGUAACGCGUGGGAACCUGCCCUUAGGUUCGGAAUAACUCCCCGAAAGGGGUGCUAAUACCGGAUAAUGUCUUCGGACCAAAGAUUUAUCGCCUUUGGAUGGGCCCGCGUUGGAUUAGCUAGUUGGUAGGGUAAAAGCCUACCAAGGCGACGAUCCAUAGCUGGUCUGAGAGGAUGAUCAGCCACACUGGGACUGAGACACGGCCCAGACUCCUACGGGAGGCAGAAGUGGGGAAUAUUGGACAAUGGGCGAAAGCCUGAUCCAGCAAUGCCGCGUGAGUGAUGAAGGCCUUAGGGUUGUAAAGCUCUUUUACCCGGGAUGAUAAUGACAGUACCGGGAGAAUAAGCUCCGGCUAACUCCGUG
rnacentral:rRNA from 1 species